UGGGGAAUAUUGCACAAUGGGCGCAAGCCUGAUGCAGCCAUGCCGCGUGUGUGAAGAAGGCCUUCGGGUUGUAAAGCACUUUCAGCGAGGAGGAAGGUGGUGAGCUUAAUACGCUCAUCAAUUGACGUUACUCGCAGAAGAAGCACCGGCUAACUCCGUGCCAGCAGCCGCGGUAAUACGGAGGGUGCAAGCGUUAAUCGGAAUUACUGGGCGUAAAGCGCACGCAGGCGGUUUGUUAAGUCAGAUGUGAAAUCCCCGGGCUCAACCUGGGAACUGCAUUUGAAACUGGCAAGCUAGAGUCUCGUAGAGGGGGGUAGAAUUCCAGGUGUAGCGGUGAAAUGCGUAGAGAUCUGGAGGAAUACCGGUGGCGAAGGCGGCCCCCUGGACGAAGACUGACGCUCAGGUGCGAAAGCGUGGGGCAGCAAACAGGAUUAGAUACCCUGGUAGUCCACGCUGUAAACGAUGUCGAUUCGGAGGUUGUGCCCUUGAGGCGUGGCUUCCGGAGCUAACGCGUUAAAUCGACCGCCUGGGGAGUACGGCCGCAAGGUUAAAACUCAAAUGAAUUGACGGGGUCAUAGC
rnacentral:rRNA from 1 species